rnacentral:rRNA from 1 species
ACUCCUACGGGAGGCAGCAGUGGGGAAUAUUGCACAAUGGGGGAAACCCUGAUGCAGCCAUGCCGCGUGUGUGAAGAAGGCCUGGUUGUAAAGCACUUUCAGUAGGGAGGAAGGUAGUGUAGUUAACACCUGCAUUAUUUGUACGUUACCUACAGAAGAAGCACCGGCUAACUCCGUGCCAGCAGCCGCGGUAAUACGGAGGGUGCGAGCGUUAAUCGGAAUUACGUGGGCGUAAAGCGCAUGCAGGCGGGCCUGUUAAGUCAGAUGUGAAAGCCCGGGGUCUUAACCUCGGAAUUGCAUUUGAAACUGGCAGGCUAGAGUCUUGUAGAGGGGUUAGGAAUUUCAGGUGUAGCGGUGAAAUGCGUAGAGAUCUGAAGGAAUACCAGU